GACGUAGGGCGCGAGCGUUGUCCGGAUUUAUUGGGCGUAAAGCGCUCGUAGGCGGCUUGUUGCGUCGACCGUGAAAACCCGGGGCUCAACUUCGGGCUUGCGGUCGAUACGGGCGGGCUAGAGUUCGGUAGGGGAGACUGGAAUUCCUGGUGUAGCGGUGAAAUGCGCAGAUAUCAGGAGGAACACCGGUGGCGAAGGCGGGUCUCUGGGCCGAUACUGACGCUGAGGAGCGAAAGCGUGGGGAGCGAACAGG
rnacentral:rRNA from 1 species